rnacentral:lncRNA from 10 species
AAAGCAUGGCCCUUGGGGGCUGCUGCCUGAGGGAGUGCUGGGAAACAAAGCAGUUCUCUAUGUCAUUGCCCAGGCUGAACUUGAACUCCUGGGCUCAAGCAAUCCUCCAGCUUCAGCCUCUUGAGUAACUGAGACUACAGGUGCAUGCCACCAUGUCUGGCUUAAUCCUCACCUUUUAAAGCAGCUUUAAGGCACAGGAACAGAAGAAAGGCCGUGUGAGGACACAGUGAGAAGGCAGCUAUUGACCAGCCGGGAGGAGAGAGCUCACCACAACCCGACCCGCCUGCACCCUGAUCUUGGACUUCCAGCCUCCAGAACUGUGAGAAAAUAAAUUCCUGUAGUUUAAGCCACCCAGUCUGUGGUAUUUUGUUAUGACAGCCUGAGCAGACUAAUACAAGCAUCUAGCCUUGAGCCAUACAGAAGGAGGGGUGAGCUGGACCCCAG